GAGUGAUCGAAAGAUGAAAAGCACUUUGAAAAGAGAGUUAAAUAGCACGUGAAAUUGUUGAAAGGGAAGCGUUGUCCCCCAGACUCGCCCACAGGGCUCAGCCGGCACUUGUGCUGGUGUACUCCCUGCUGGGCGGGCCAGCAUCGGUUUGGGCGGCCGCUGAAAGGCCCCGGGAAUGUAACACCCUCCGGGGUGCCUUAUAGCCCGGGGUGGCAUGCGACCUGCCUGGACCGAGGCCCGCGCUUCGGCGAGGAUGCUGGCGUAAUGGGGGUCAACGGCCC
rnacentral:rRNA from 1 species